CAGAUGUGAAAGACCCGGGGCGUCAACCUACCGGAAUUGCAUUUGUAAACUAGGCAGACUAGAGUACUGUAGAGGGGGGUAGGAAUUUCUAGGUGUAGCGGUGAAAUAGCGUAGAGAUCUGAAGGAAUACCGGUGGCGAAGGCGGCCCCCUCGGACAGAUACUGACACUCAGAUGCGAAAGCGUGGGGAGCAAACAGGAUUAGAUACCCUGGUAG
rnacentral:rRNA from 1 species